CCUACGGGAGGCAGCAGUGGGGAAUUUUGGACAAUGGGGGAAACCCUGAUCCAGCAAUGCCGCGUGAGUGAAGAAGGCCUUCGGGUUGUAAAGCUCUUUUGUCAGGGAAGAAACACCGGCUCUAACACAGUCCGGGAAUGACGGUACCUGAAGAAUAAGCACCGGCUAACUACGUGCCAGCAGCCGCGGUAAUACGUAGGGUGCAAGCGUUAAUCGGAAUUACUGGGCGUAAAGCGUGCGCAGGCGGUUAUACAGGACAGGCGUGAAAUCCCCGGGCUUAACCUGGGAAUGGCGCCUGUGACUGUAUAGCUAGAGUGUGUCAGAGGGGGGUAGAAUUCCACGUGUAGCAGUGAAAUGCGUAGAUAUGUGGAGGAAUACCAAUGGCGAAGGCAGCCCCCUGGGAUAACACUGACGCUCAUGCACGAAAGCGUGGGGAGCAAACAGGAUUAGAUACCCUGGUAGUCCACGCCCUAAACGAUGCUGACUAGUUGUUCGGGAUUUACAUCCUGAGUAACGUAGCUAACGCGUGAAGUCNGCGCGNGGAGUACGUCGCGAGAUAACGUACAAGAAGUAGAGCGNGAGAGNGACGACGACGACGACGAGGAGAGG
rnacentral:rRNA from 1 species